AAGAAACUCAAGAAAGAGGCUGCAAAGAAAAAAGGUUCCUCAAAGGAAGGUUUGUCAAAAAUAUCUAAGAAAAAGGCCAAUGUGUCAGAUGAGGAGCAGUCUCCCACUGGUAGCCAAGCUGAUCAAACCGAAGCGCCACCUGCUGACAGUGAUGAUGAUGUUGAAUGGCAGACGGACACCUCUAUGGCAGCAGCCCAGCAGCGCAUUCAGGAGCAGCUCAAUGCUGUUACUGCUAGUAUGGUUAUGUCUCCCACUGGUAGCCAAGCUGAUCAGACUGAAGCGCCACCUGCUGACAGUGAUGAUGAUGUUGAAUGGCAGACGGACACCUCUAUGGCAGCAGCCCAGCAGCGCAUUCAGGAGCAGCUCAAUGCUGUUACUGCUAGUAUGGUUAUGCUUUCGGCAACUGAAGAGAAGUCUGGCAAAAGCUCACCAUCACGUGAAGAGAAGCCCAAGGCCAACGGGCAAUGCGCUGG
rnacentral:lncRNA from 1 species